AUGCUGACUUCUGAUUUCCACAUUAGCACACUUAAACAACCUCAUGAUUUCAACUUAUUAACAGAAAUAUGUGAAGAACUAGACUGGGCUGAGAUCCAGCACAUAACCAAAUUGACUUUCAUUUAAAAUCCCUCAUAGAAAUACAAUCAUCACACAAACAAAUGGGAAAGGUUGGACAACAAACUCUUGAAUUUACUAAACUAUGCUUCAACCAUAAGAGAGCAGGGUUUGAAAACUAAAUGAGAAGCAGAGUAUGGGUCGAUUGUGUUGGACCCAAAAUUUGAAUUGAGGCGUUUGAACCCUGGCCAAGCUAAACGGCUCUAACUAAUCAGCUAAGAACCUUACUCCUUAAUCAGUAAAAUGUUUAAAAGUCCAAACAGUCCUGAAUCAUUACAUUCAAGCAAGUUCAAAUACAAACCUUAAAAUGUAAUCCAACAUUAAUGACAUAAAUGACUACACAUGAUGACUAAACUAAAGAACACAUGAAGAAAAUUAUAGUGAAAUCUUGCAAUCAUUUGACAUAGAAACAUGCAUCAAUUAUCAUUUCUUCAAGCUUGGUUACAUGUUUUCUGAUUCACACUUCACAUGUCACUUAAGAGCCAAGGAAAUACCUGGAGAUCGAAAUAAAAACCAAAAGGGUGAGGAAUCAGUCAAACAACAACAGUAUAGCAGAACCAGCACCAGUAAAACCAGUUCAAACCAGAAAAGUUGAUGCAAAACAGAGAAAUAAAACAGUCUCAAUCGAAAGUGACCACAAUAGCUUCAAACCAAACUUUAGAAAACCCAAUUCAAUCCAUUUUCACACUCAGAUGAGUCAAAAAUCAUUUCAGAAAUUGAACAAAAUCACUGAAGAAGUUCAAUGAAACAGUAAAAAUUUUAGCCGUUUGUUUUUUUCUAGAUUUUUUAUCCCUUAAAAUCUGCCUUGAAAAGCAAGGUAAGGUGCCUUUAUAGGCAAGCUAUUAGGGCAACCUAAGGGAUCAAUUUUUUGCACUUUGCACCUUUUCUAAUUUUCAUUUUAGCUUAGGUAUCCCUAUUUUAAAUCUCAGAACUUCACAAUAGUCCCCCUCCCCAGUUUGCUAGAAGCUUCCUAAUCAGUUACCCAAAGAUUCUCUUACCUAGACUACCCAAACCACCCCUCUAGGUCGUGCUAAUUACCCUCAAAAAAAUUCAUGGGUCAAUUGAACCCAAAGACUCAAAACCAGCCUAACUCUUACAAGACCUGGGUUAAUCCCUUUUCUUUGGGCCCAGGUCUAACUCCGAAAUUUAGAAGAAAUGAGGAGGCAGAAGAGGCGAUUCGGAUUUCAAACCAACCAGGAACCAAUGUUCUCAAUACGUCCCAAAAUUAAACAAACCAACCUAACAAGUUUAAACAAAACAGAGGAAGCUAAUAACUAAUAUUAACUCUAACUAAAAAGAACCACAUGCAAAGAUAAUUUUGAAAACAGAAGAAAGAGAGGGAAAAUAGAAGAAAAUAAGAGAAGAAACGAAUGGAAGAACACUGGACUUACCAGAUGAACACAAGUUUGAACUAAUCUCCAAAGAAACCCCUUGAUUUUUGGCCCAGAUAGACUUUAACCGUGUGUUCUCGACUGAAAACACAUGGUUAAAGUCAAAUUCAACCUCAAAUAUCUCGAAACCUCGCGACUCUGAUUUUGGGAUUUAGGGUUCAUAUUUUCAAAUCCAGAUUUGAUGAGUCUGGUGAAGAUUCGAGGGAAUCCAAUUGUGAAUCAGGUAUGAGGGGGUCAUGGGGGGUACGGGGUGUUAUUUUGGGGUGAUUUGGGUGGAUUGAAGUUUGAAGGUCCAAACUUUGAUCGAAGAUUCGACAAGUUUCCCGAUGAUUUGAAGGGAACUAAUGACGGAUUCGUUAUGAAGGGGAAAAGGGGGUGCUAUGGUGUAAGGAUUGGGGUGGUUGGAGGUGGCGCCGCCGACCCAAUGGCGGUGGAAAAUCAGGGCGGUAGAUUAGGGUUUGUUUUUGAAGAAGAGUGGGGUUGAGAGAGAUG
rnacentral:lncRNA from 1 species